rnacentral:lncRNA from 1 species
GAGGUGGAGGCAAAUGAGGCGGUGGAGGGGAGGAGUAUACUGGUGGAGGAGGUGAAUUUGGUGGUGGAGGUGAUGAGUAUAUGUAUACAGGUGGUGGAGGUGGUGAAUUUGGUGGUGGAGGAGGCGGAGGUGGUGGUGAAUUGUAGUAGUAAGGUGAAGGGGGUGGAGGUGAGUGAGCAAGCGGUGGUGGCGGAGGAGGUGGUGAAUUUGGUGGUGGAGGUGGUGGUGAGCGUACACAAUAAGGUAAUGGUGAUGGAGGAGGAGGUGAUGGUGGUGGUGGUGGUGGUGGUGGCGAGUAAACAGGUGGUGGAGGAGGUGGUGGUGAUGGUGGAGUAGGAGAGGGUGGUGGUGGCGAAUAAACAGGUGGGGGGGGUGGAGGAGGUGGAGGUGGCGGAGAGGGAGGUGGCGGAGAGGGAGGUGAAUAAACGGGAGGUGGAGGUGACGGAGGAGGCGGAGGAGGUGAAUAAACGGGAGGUGGAGGCGGAGGAG